CUCCGGUUGAUCCUGCCGGACCUGACUGCUAUCGGAUUGGUACUAAGCCAUGCGAGUCGUUGUAGCAAUACAAGGCGGACGGCUCAGUAACACGUAGUCAACCUAACCUAUGGACGUGGAUAACCUCGGGAAACUGAGAAUAAACCGCGAUAGAUCAUUAUGCCUGGAAUGGCUUAUGGUUCAAACAAUUUAUUGCCGUAGGAUGGGACUGCGGCCUAUCAGCUUGUUGGUGAGGUAAUGGCCCACCAAGGCUAUAACAGGUACGGGCUCUGAGAGGAGAAGCCCGGAGAUGGGUACUGAGACACGGACCCAGGCCCUAUGGGGCGCAGCAGGCGAGAAACCUUAGCAAUGUGCGAAAGCACGACUAGGUUAAUCCGAGUGAUUUCUGUUGAAGAAAUCUUUUGUCAGUCGUAAAACCACAGACGAAUAAGGGGUGGGCAAGUCUGGUGUCAGCCGCCGCGGUAAUACCAGCACCUCGAGUGGUCAGGAGGUUUAUUGGGCCUAAAGCAUCCGUAGCCGGCUACGCAAGUCUCCGGUUAAAUCCAGCUGCUCAACAGAUGGGCUGCCGGAGAUACUACAUAGCUAGGGAGCGGGAGAGGUAGACGGUAUUCUGUGGGUAGGGGUAAAAUCCACUGAUCCAUAGAGGACCACCAGUGGCGAAGGCGGUCUACCAGAACGCGUUCGACGGUGAGGGAUGAAAGCUGGGGGAGCAAACCGGAUUAGAUACCCGGGUAGUCCCAGCUGUAAACGAUGCAAACUCGGUGAUGCAUUGGCUUAUGGCCAAUGCAGUGCCGCAGGGAAGCCGUUAAGUUUGCCGCCUGGGAAGUACGGACGCAAGUCUGAAACUUAAGGGAUUGGCGGGGGAGCA
rnacentral:rRNA from 1 species